rfam:Rattus norvegicus chromosome 5, whole genome shotgun sequence.
GGGGAUUUAGCUCAGUGGUAGAGCGCUUGCCUAGCAAGCACAAGGCCCUGGGUUCGGUUCUCAGCUCCA